CAGAAAGGAAAAAAAGCUCAAAUGAGUGAGAAGGACGAUGAAGGAAACAUCUGUGCUGUGUCUGCUCUACCUUGGUGGAUCUGCAGGGAGAACUGAGGACGCCAGUUAUGGAUGAAUCAUCAACAAAUCAUCAUCAGAGACAAGAGACACAGUCAAAGAAAGCCACAGACUCCAACAAAGAGGACGGCUGUACUUGGUGUCAGUGACAGAAAUGAGAAAAAGCUGAAAUGAGUGAGAAGGACGAUGAAGGAAACAUCUGUGCUGUGUCUGCUCUAUGCAGCUGCAGUCUGCUCAGCAGUGAGAACUGAAGACGUCAGUCAAAGAGAAGGAAAAACAGUCAGAGCUGAGAGAGUUUCUACCAGAGCCAAAUGUCAUCGACUCCUCACUGAAGUCGUCCACCAGUCCAACCACUGGAAUCCAGCUGCUGCUCUCUAACUGGUCCACACAGCAGCUCAGAGCUGACACAUUCACUGUAAACACACUGGUUUAUAUUCUGUUUGUUCUCCUCAUGAAGGAAACCUCACACAACCACUGAGGGCAGAAAGUUCAAAUGGAGAGGCAUUUUUCUUUCUUUUAUAAAGAAGCAGUAGAAGAGUGGUACCAUAAUUUUUUUUAUUUAUCUUUCAUACUUAAAAGACAAUUCUUCACCAGGCCUUUCAGAAUAAAAGCAUGACCAAGACAUCAUAUAUACAUAAACAAUAAUAAAUCUUAUGUAACUACAAUGUAGGUGUAAUCCAUGUUUUCAUGUCUUCAGUAACUUUGCUGUUAUUUAUGUUAUUUCUAAGUGUGCUGUCGUCUCCACAGCAGUGAUCUGGUUUCUCUGCAGGUUCAAUAAACUUUGGUCUGACUUGA